rnacentral:rRNA from 1 species
AGCGAACGCUGGCGGCAGGCCUAACACAUGCAAGUCGAACGAACCCUUCGGGGUUAGUGGCGGACGGGUGAGUAACACGUGGGAACGUGCCUUUAGGUUCGGAAUAACCCAGGGAAACUUGUGCUAAUACCGAAUGUGCCCUUCGGGGGAAAGAUUUAUCGCCUUUAGAGCGGCCCGCGUCUGAUUAGCUAGUUGGUGAGGUAAUGGCUCACCAAGGCUACGAUCAGUAGCUGGUCUGAGAGGAUGACCAGCCACAUUGGGACUGAGACACGGCCCAAACUCCUACGGGAGGCAGCAGUGGGGAAUCUUGCGCAAUGGGCGAAAGCCUGACGCAGCCAUGCCGCGUGGAUGAUGAAGGUCUUAGGAUUGUAAAAUCCUUACACCGGUGAAGAUAAUGACUGUAGCCGGAGAAGAAGCCCCGGCUAACUUCGUGCCAGCCGCCGCGGUAAAAC